rnacentral:rRNA from 1 species
UACGUAGGGUGCGAGCGUUAAUCGGGAUUACUGGGCGUAAAGUGUGCGCAGGCGGCCAUGCAAGUCGAGUGUGAAAGCCCCGGGCUUAACUUGGGAAUUGCGCUCGAAACUACGUGGCUGGAGUGUGGCAGAGGAAGGUGGAAUUCCACGUGUAGCGGUGAAAUGCGUAGAGAUGUGGAGGAACACCGAUGGCGAAGGCAGCCUUCUGGGCCAACACUGACGCUCAUGCACGAAAGCGUGGGGAGCAAACAGG